GAUGAACGCUAGCGGCAGGCUUAAUACAUGCAAGUCGAACGGUAAGUAGUGUAGCAAUACAUUACCAAGAGUGACGUACGGGUGCGUAACACGUAUGCAACCUACCUUGUACAGGAGUAUAGCUCGGGGAAACUCGAAUUAACCCUCCAUAAGAUCGUGGUGUGGCAUCACACAGCGAUAAAAACUACAGGUGGUACAAGCUGGGCAUGCGUCUGAUUAGAG
rnacentral:rRNA from 1 species